GCACUGAUGACGAGUGCCAAACAGGACGAAACAGCUGUUCAGUGC
rnacentral:hammerhead_ribozyme from 1 species